rnacentral:tRNA from 1 species
AUAAAGGUAGUUAAAUUUAUAACACUGGUUUUGCAUUCCAGAGUUGAAACCUAAGUGGUUUCCCUUUAUU